AUGAAUUUCUUUUGCCCUAAUGUCAUCACUCUUGCCCUAAUCUGUCAUCAGUCGAGCAAAGAGGAGAGGCGACACAGCACGAAGAGGCGACGGCGACCCACCAUUCCCUUCCGGCGACGGCGACGCAAGAGUUCCGAGAUCACUGAUCAGCAAGCAUCUAUUUUCAAUUCGUCCCCUGCACUGCAUAUCAGCCACCUAGCAACCAAGCAACUGGUUGGAUCUUCUCACCAUAAUUAUAAAAAAUAAAAAAAUAAUAAAAAAUAUCGGCGUACCGCAGCCGUACCCGUAUCCUACUUUUUUGGAAUUUUGCCGUAUCGGUGUACCCGCACUCGUACCCGUACCGUACUCGUACCCGCACCCGUGCUUCAUAGCCUAAAAUAGCCUUUCGAGUUCUGGAGCCCAGAACUUCAGGCCCAUGUUCAAUACAAUCAUGCCCAACGCUUGACCUUCCCUCCCCGUUGACAUUCUCUCUGUCGAAUAGAAGAGCCUCUUCGUGAACUCCAACAUCCUGGGGAACCAGAAAUCCACGUGUCCGGACUGUCCCCCCAGUCUCUUCAUCUCCCCCACCUCCGGCGCCAAGCUCCGAUGGGAUCUCUCACUGUAAAUUCCAUUGCCGAUGACCCUCCCUUUGUCUGAAGAACUUCGAAAUCGCCUUCACUCGCACAAUAGUCGUCGAAAUCUCCACAGUUGAUAGUAAAAACCUAGACGCCGAUCCUCUCACCUUCAGUCUUGCCUCAAAAAGGUUUUCAAAAUUCUUGAUUCUGUUGUCCACUUCUAAGAGCCCACCACAUUUCGCCCCAAUUUGUUCAAAAGUUUUGAUAUUCCAUAAAUUAAACGGCAAAUCGCAAAUAGCAAUCCAGCCUCCAAAUGAAGCAAUCACACUAGAUCUCCUAUGCUUCUCUUCUAACCACCUCGCCAGCAAUACAGCUAUACCCUUACCAAAAAAAUGCCACCCUUUAUUCCCGUAGAAUGCAGCCACAUCCUCGGUCUUGGUGAAAAACAGAGCUCGAUUCAACUGAAAGGGACGAAGCCUGAUAGGUAUCUUGUAAGAUUUACAUAAUUCCUUCUCAAUUUGCUCCCACCCUAUAAAGAAAUCAGCUCUCUCACACACCACCGCCUACUGGAGUACUAGCGAAGAACCAUCCUUUAACGAACUUGAUGAUGGAAGCUUGAGAAUCUCUGCAUACGACCAUCCUCUGUUUGCCCCUACUUUCAUUUGCCGACUCGUUUCCUCCAUGUCAUCCUCCUUAUUGGCCCCAUUCGACCAAACACCAUUUCGAAGAUCCCUUGCCAUGGCCACAUUUCUUGUCACCUUACCUACCUUCUUACCUUCUGCAUCUCUAGCACGGAUGUUCUGCCUUGUUCCAAAUAGAAUUGUUUCAAGUAACCCAGCCACAUCCUUCCACCCCUGACGAUUGACUCUGUUGGGAUGAUAAUGUUUGAUGACCUUAUCCCAGUAACCCACUUGGCUAGUUUCCACAAACUCACCUCUCCUAUUUGAAUAACACUAAAGCCAGAAAACAGUCGAGCUAUUCGUAUACUUUCUGAAGAACUGCCUUUUGUCAGUCAUGGUUGCAGCAUCUUUGAGAGCCUGUGAUGCCCAGAAAACCCCUCCCAGAUCAAGUUUCAAUGUGAAACUGCGAUGCCUAUUCCUUUUAAUGAUUUCCACUACCUCCCCGUGUGAUCUCUCAUCAACCUAAACAAUAAUUACCUUCUGCUCAAUCUAGAGAUCAAACACACGAUCAUUGUAUUUCCUCAUAACUUAACCAAAAAAAUUGUUUUGCAAUCCUCUUCUAACUCUGACAUAUGCUUUAAAGGCAUAUUUUGCUCAGCGCUAGCAGUUGGUCGUUUCAAUUCUUCAGUCCCGCCAGCUUCCAUAGCAUCCAAUUCCUCGCUUUGGACUCUAGUAAUAACUAGAUCUUCUUGGGGUGCUUUUGGAUCAUUAGUAAGAGCCUCAUUA